AAUAAGAAAAUGAAAAAAAUGAUUUUUAUUCUUUUUGUCAAGAAAAAACAAGAAGAGGGGAAUAUUAUACAGCUGUGAAAGGAAAGUGUGAUGACGUGGCGUAAACCAAUCAAGUACCAAUGAUUGGUCACUACUGCCUUCUCUUCUUCCAGAUACUUUAUUCUCUUCCACCAGUUCAUGCUGACGUACGUUGCUUUUGCGUUUACGAAGAAGCCCUUCUUAUAACUAAACUUAGGGUCCGAAUGGUGACUGCAUUUUGCGGUGCGGAAAAAGUGCAGUGCGGUUCAAAUAGUAACGAAAAUACAUAGAUACAUAUGUAUAUGUAGAGAUUUUGAUACUGUUACAGCACUGUUGCGGUGCGGUUUUGGAUGCGGUUUACCAAACAAUUUCAAUCCUAUUUGAUCUUUAAUUUUUCUCCAAUAUGAAUUCAUGCAACAUACUUGUCGA
rnacentral:sRNA from 1 species